ensembl:lncRNA
UCAUCUGUUCAAAAGUAUACUUUAUUUGGUAUAUAACAGUACAAUCCUCUUAUUAGACAACAACACAUACAUACUUGAGACAUCUUUCAAAACAACUCAUAUAUACAUAUAUAUAUUCAGACAGACACACACACACAGAGUUUUACACUGACAUAGACUCAGUCAGAGGCAUACAUUCACACAUACAUAAUCACAGUUCCUAGGGAGCUAACAAGGCCAAGGUGGUGUCCAUGCAAACCCAUCCUCAACAUGGAUCAAGCUAAGCUGAAAUUGCAGCAUAAUAGCUCAAGCUUUUUCAUAAUAUACAGUAAAACACUGCAUGCAAACCUCUUUGGCAUUGGUAAGAUUGUGCUGUAAUGAACUCACACACAAAAACAAACACAAAGCUGCCUUGAUUGUCUGGAGUGUGGAGUCUCUAUGACAAUGUGGCCUCUCACUGUCUCAGCAGGGAAGUGUUUACUAUGCACCAAACGGAAGAAAACUGACUGAAACAGGGACAGAUACCUGAACAAUAAGAAACACUUGUUUUUAGUUGCAAAACAUUUUGCUACGCUGUGCCAUAAUCACUACAACCCAGUGUUCCUGCAGUUCAUCUAUCUCAGGGCGUGUCCUUGACUCUCAGGCCUUAGUGAACCCAGGACUGUGUAUCUGUCUUUCAGUCUCCCUCACUUUUUGUCAUCCAUUCCCCUGGAGCAUGAAUGGGCAACUCCAGUCCCCUGGAGCAGGGAUGGGCAACUCCAUUCCCCUGGAGCAGGGAUGGGCAACUCCAUUCCCCUGGAGCAUGAAUGGGCAACUCCAUUCCCCUGGAGCAGGGAUGGGCAACUCCAUUCCCCAACUCCAUUCCCCUGGAGCAGGGAUGGGCAACUCCAUUCCCCCUGGAGCAGGGAUGGGCAACUCCAUUCCCCUGGAGCAGGGAUGGGCAGGGAUGGGCACUCCAUUCCCCUGGAGCAGGGAUGGGCAACUCCAUUCCCCUGGAGCAGGGAUGGGCAACUCUAUUCCCCUGGAGCAGGGAUGGGCAACUCUAUUCCCCUGGAGCAGGGAUGGGCAACUCCCCUGGAGGGAGCAGGGAUGGGCAACUCUAGUCCCCUGGAGCAGGGAUGGGCAACUCUAUUCCCCUGGAGCAGGGAUGGGCAACUCCAGUCCCCUGGAGGGCAACUCCAUUCCCCUGGAGCAGGGAUGGGCAACUCCAUUCCCCUGGAGCAGGGAUGGGCAACUCCAUUCCCCUCCAUUCCCCUGGAGCAGGGAUGGGCAACUCCAUUCCCCUGGAGCAGGGAUGGGCAACUCCAUUCCCCUGGAGCAUGAAUGGGCAACUCCAUUCCCCUGGAGCAGGGAUGGGCAACUCUAUUCCCCUGGAGCAGGGAUGGGCAACUCCAGUCCCCUGGAGCAGGGAUGGGCAACUCCAGUCCCCUGGAGCAGGGAUGGUGUCACACUUUUCACCCACACCUAGCAAACACGGCUGAUUAAACUAAUAACAUUCUAAACUGAAGAUCAUGAUAUUGGAGUCAGGUGUUUUAGCUGGGGAUGGAGAAAAAGUGUGACACCAAUCAGGCCCUGGAGGAAUGGACUUGCCCACCCCUGACCUGGAGUGUGUUUGACUGCGGGACUACAAGUGUACCAAUCCUUCUAGUACAGUAAGGUUUCUGGCCACACUUGACGUCAUAGGCUUCGCCUUGUUAAACCAUAUUAACAACCACUGAAAUAAGCUGUGUAAUUACCAUGUAAUAACAGGGUCGUAAACAAGUUUUGGAAAUGUCACUACUUUUAGAUUCCCUUUUUCAUAUGAAUUAGAAUGUGUAUUUUUUUCAAAUAGUAAUUUCAAACACGAUUGAAAUGGAAAAGCAGUGGAAGUGGACUGUAACUGGGUUCAUGUCUGGUAUUAAAUCAUUCCAUUUGUUAUUUCAUUACAGUUACUAAUAAGGCCUAAGUCACGCUGUGUUGCCAUGAUGAUGUUUGUACAAUCAUUGUGAAGUCUACAUCCCAGUUGUAACUGUGGAGGAUUCUGUUCUCUCUGCAGUCUCCGUUGCAGCUACUAGCUUUGCUUUGAUGGUUAUAGCUGUGCAGAGCACUCAGAAAUCCCAGUUUAUAUCUAAUGACAUGAAUGGGCAGAGCUGGGUGGUAAACUCACCAGGCAGGAUCAAUGAGUUAGCCAGUUGACCAGGGUAAACUCAACACUGAGAAAUACAGUAACAGUUGACCUGGGUAAACUCAACACUGAGAAAUACAGUAACAGUUGACCUGGGUAAACUCAACACUGA